GCGGAGGGAUCAUUACCGAGUUUACAACUCCCAAACCCCUGUGAACAUACCAAUUGUUGCCUCGGCGGAUCAGCCCGCUCCCGGUAAAACGGGACGGCCCGCCAGAGGACCCCUAAACUCUGUUUCUAUAUGUAACUUCUGAGUAAAACCAUAAAUAAAUCAAAACUUUCAACAACGGAUCUCUUGGUUCUGGCAUCGAUGAAGAACGCAGCAAAAUGCGAUAAGUAAUGUGAAUUGCAGAAUUCAGUGAAUCAUCGAAUCUUUGAACGCACAUUGCGCCCGCCAGUAUUCUGGCGGGCAUGCCUGUUCGAGCGUCAUUUCAACCCUCAAGCCCCCGGGUUUGGUGUUGGGGAUCGGCGAGCCCUUGCGGCAAGCCGGCCCCGAAAUCUAGUGGCGGUCUCGCUGCAGCUUCCAUUGCGUAGUAGUAAAACCCUCGCAACUGGUACGCGGCGCGGCCAACCCGUUAAACCCCCAACUUCUGAAUGUUGACCUCGGAUCAGGUAGGAAUACCCGCUGAACUUAAGCAUAUCAAUAAGCGGAGGAAAAGAAACCAACAGGGAUUGCCCUAGUAACGGCGAGUGAAGCGGCAACAGCUCAAAUUUGAAAUCUGGCUCUCGGGCCCGAGUUGUAAUUUGUAGAGGAUACUUUUGAUGCGGUGCCUUCCGAGUUCCCUGGAACGGGACGCCAUAGAGGGUGAGAGCCCCGUCUGGUUGGAUGCCAAAUCUCUGUAAAGUUCCUUCGACGAGUCGAGUAGUUUGGGAAUGCUGCUCUAAAUGGGAGGUAUAUGUCUUCUAAAGCUAAAUACCGGCCAGAGACCGAUAGCGCACAAGUAGAGUGAUCGAAAGAUGAAAAGCACUUUGAAAAGAGAGUUAAAAAGUACGUGAAAUUGUUGAAAGGGAAGCGUUUAUGACCAGACUUGGGCUUGGUUAAUCAUCUGGGGUUCUCCCCAGUGCACUUUUCCAGUCCAGGCCAGCAUCAGUUUUCCCCGGGGGAUAAAGACUUCGGGAAUGUGGCUCCUAAAGGGGUGUUAUAGCCCGUUGUGUAAUAGCCA
rnacentral:rRNA from 1 species